rnacentral:rRNA from 1 species
UACGAAGGGGGCUAGCGUUGUUCGGAAUCACUGGGCGUAAAGCGCACGUAGGCGGAUCUUUAAGUCAGAGGUGAAAUCCCAAGGCUCAACCUUGGAACUGCCUUUGAUACUGGGGAUCUUGAGUCCGGGAGAGGUGAGUGGAACUGCGAGUGUAGAGGUGAAAUUCGUAGAUAUUGGGAAGAACACCGGUGGCGUAGGCGGCGACCUGGUCCUUUACUGACGCUGAGGCGCGAAAGCGUGGGGAGCAAACAGG